GUGACGGUAAACUUGAAAUAUAAAUGCAAUUCCCUUUUAAAUACAGUAACGAGGUUUGUUAAAUUUCGAUAACAAAGCUUUUCUUUAAAGUUUAUUUCAUGUUUCUUAAAUUAUUCGGGUAAAGAUAACUCCACACUGACGGACAAUUGUUCGCAAACACGUGUCGUAGCCAAUCGGCACCUGUCUUUCGUGGAAAAUUCGCGGAAAGCUGACACGUAUCGGCGGACAAUGUCUGUCAGUGAGACUUAAGGCGCGUACGGGCAGACUACAGGCGCCUGUAGACAUUGUCUGCCGACAACACAUGCCAAAACAUGUAUAUAAACUGCCUGCAAGCAACGUCGCUUGUCCACCAGAAGUGUGCCGGAAAGGUGCCUUGGAGAUGCAACACACGGAUCGUUUAAAUCUACCUGUGAUCCAGUCGAACUAGCCUAAAAAAAAAAACAAAUUUAACAUUAAAUGGUAUCUGACAUUUUACGACACGUUGCGCCAACUGAUAGAAAUCAUGCUCAGGAACAAAUAUAUAUUUUUGCGUAUAACAACGAACCUAAUAAUCGGAUCACGAAGAGUUUAGAACAAAAGUUGUAAGUCAUACAUUAAGAUCGGUUAAUUCGUUGAUGGGUGAAACUGUGUGAAAAGCAUGUAAAAUUUUAUUGCCAAAUGUUAAUUAACUGUUGCGUAACUUAAAUUUUUAUCCGCGGAAUUUUGCCUUCCGUUGUCUGCGGAUUUUUCGCAGAAUAUAAAAAUACGUGUUUGCAGACAAGUAUCUGCCAGUGUAAACUAGGCUUUAGCUCAACACCUACGGCGUGUCUAAUUUGAAUGUUUAUAUCUCGAUAGCAAAGUGCGGAAAACGCGAGUUUGUAGUGUUCUGAAAGCGUUUCGAUAGGACGCUUCGAGGUUGCCGUAAAAUCAAGCGAAUAAGAGUGUACUCUAACGUUAAAGUCUCAAACACAAAUUCCUGCUUGGUUGUUCGCCGUUGAAAGAAGCACUUACGUAGUGACGAAUGGAAGCGAGGCAGCAGCGCGGUUCCGCAAAUAAUCACGAACACGACAGGAUGACACGUUCCGAAAAUAAGGAUCGCCCAUGCAGGGAAUUCCGCCGCCACGUCCUCCGCUUUGGAAUCGCGCGCAAGGAUCUGGCACGCUUUCAAAUUGACUUUACCGCCCGUUUAUUCUGCAUCAACUGGUCACCAAAAUAUUUUUCUAGGCCUAUUUUAAACCGGCCGAUGCUUUUUCUCGUCACGGAAGUUACGAGCGAUUUAUAAAUUCUUCGUCUUGCCGAAAACGAGCAAACAGGAAACGUCGCAACUUUUAUGCGUUCAAGUACUUUUUAUCGCUAAGUAUUCCUAAUAGCUCCGCUUAUAUUGUAUUGUAUCGCAUUUCAUGUUUCUCACGUGGCGUAUUCGUGUCUGGGUAUUUCAGAAAUUUUUGUGAAGUUCUUUCGUAUGUCGGUAUCCGAUUCUUUCUUCCCAUGUAUGUCCACCUUUAGACACGUUACAAGUACGUUGUCAUUUGACAUCAGGAUGCAAAUUUUUAUCGCUAUUAUCGUAAACUCUAAACGAAAGAAUGAAUCGCUUUUUGUGUUUAAAGAUAGAUUAUAUUUACAGAUAGUAUUAUAGAAUUUUAAUGUAUUUUAAAAAUCAAAGAUAAACGUAAAAGAAUUAAAAUUAAAGAAAUUGAAAACGCUUUCAAGA